UACGAAGGUCCCAAGCGUUAUCCGGAUUUAUUGGGUUUAAAGGGUGCGUAGGCGGGCUAUUAAGUCAGUGGUGAAAGCCCCAAGCUUAACUUGGUAACUGCCAUUGAUACUGAUGGUCUUGAGUACAUUUGAGGUGGGCGGAAUGUGUCAUGUAGCGGUGAAAUGCUUAGAUAUGACACAGAACACCGAUUGCGAAGGCAGCUCGCUAAACUGUAACUGACGCUGAGGCACGAAAGCGUGGGGAGCAAACAGG
rnacentral:rRNA from 1 species